rnacentral:tRNA from 2 species
GGGCAAUUGGGGUAGUCUGGAUAUCCUUUCGGCCUUCGGAGCCGAACACGUGGGUUCGAAUCCUGCAUUGCCCG